UCCGGUGUGGUCUAGUGGCUAGGAUACCUGGCUUUCACCCAGGAGGCCCGACUUCGAUUCCCGGCAUCGGAA